rnacentral:rRNA from 1 species
UACGUAGGGUGCAAGCGUUGUCCGGAAUUAUUGGGCGUAAAGGGCUCGUAGGCGGUCUGUCGCGUCUGCUGUGAAAACUCGGGGCUUAACCCCGGGCCUGCAGUGGGUACGGGCAGACUAGAGUGCGGUAGGGGAGACUGGAAUUCCUGGUGUAGCGGUGAAAUGCGUAGAUAUCAGGAAGAACACCCGUGGCGAAGGCGGCUCUCUAGGACGUGACUGACGCUGAGACGCGAAAGCGUGGGGAGCGAACAGG